rnacentral:rRNA from 1 species
CCCCUAAUCGGGGUUGCGGACAGUGUCUGGUGGGUAGUUUGACUGGGGCGGUCUCCUCCUAAAGAGUAACGGAGGAGCACGAAGGUUGGCUAAUCCUGGUCGGACAUCAGGAGGUUAGUGCAAUGGCAUAAGCCAGCUUGACUGCGAGCGUGACGGCGCGAGCAGGUGCGAAAGCAGGUCAUAGUGAUCCGGUGGUUCUGAAUGGAAGGGCCAUCGCUCAACGGAUAAAAGGUACUCCGGGGAUAACAGGCUGAUACCGCCCAAGAGUUCAUAUCGACGGCGGUGUUUGGCACCUCGAUGUCGGCUCAUCACAUCCUGGGGCUGAAGUAGGUCCCAAGGGUAUGGCUGUUCGCCAUUUAAAGUGGUACGCGAGCUGGGUUUAGAACGUCGUGAGACAGUUCGGUCCCUAUCUGCCGUGGGCGCUGGAGAACUGAGGGGGGCUGCUCCUAGUACGAGAGGACCGGAGUGGACGCAUCACUGGUGUUCGGGUUGUCAUGCCAAUGGCACUGCCCGGUAGCUAAAUGCGGAAGAGAUAAGUGCUGAAAGCAUCUAAGCACGAAACUUGCCCCGAGAUGAGUUCUCCCUGACCCUUUAAGGGUCCUGAAGGAACGUUGAAGACGACGACGUUGAUAGGCCGGGUGUGUAAGCGCAGCGAUGCGUUGAGCUAACCGGUACUAAUGAACCGUGAGGCUUAACCUU